rnacentral:rRNA from 1 species
UGGGGAAUUUUGGACAAUGGGCGAAAGCCUGAUCCAGCAAUGCCGCGUGUGUGAAGAAGGCCUUCGGGUUGUAAAGCACUUUUGUCCGGAAAGAAAUCCUUGGCUCUAAUACAGUCGGGGGAUGACGGUACCGGAAGAAUAAGCACCGGCUAACUACGUGCCAGCAGCCGCGGUAAUACGUAGGGUGCAAGCGUUAAUCGGAAUUACUGGGCGUAAAGCGUGCGCAGGCGGUUUGCUAAGACCGAUGUGAAAUCCCCGGGCUCAACCUGGGAACUGCAUUGGUGACUGGCAGGCUAGAGUAUGGCAGAGGGGGGUAGAAUUCCACGUGCAGCAGUGAAAUGCGUAGAGAUGUGGAGGAAUACCGAUGGCGAAGGCAGCCCCCUGGGCCAAUACUGACGCUCAUGCACGAAAGCGUGGGGAGCAAACAGGAUUAGAUACCCUGGUAGUCCACGCCCUAAACGAUGUCAACUAGUUGUUGGGGAUUCAUUCCUUAGUAACGUAGCUAACGCGUGAAGUUGACCGCCUGGGGAGUACGGUCGCAAGAUUAAAACUCAAAGGAAUUGACGGGGUCAUAGCUGUUUCCU